GCCUUCGGGCAUUUGGUCAGUUUGAAACUGCAGUGAUGAUUAGCUUGGCCCUUGCUCCAGGAUGACACGCUCAAUCAGAGAGAAGCUAUCAAUUUUU
rnacentral:snRNA from 2 species